rnacentral:rRNA from 1 species
CAGCAGUCGCCGCGGGAAUACGAAGGGGGCUAGCGUUGCUCGGGAUGACUGGGCGUAAAGGGCGCGUAGGCGGAUUGUUUAGUUAGGCGUGAAAUUCCUGGGCUUAACCUGGGGACUGCGCUUAAUACAGGCAGUCUAGAGUGAGGAAGAGGGUUGUGGAAUUCCCAGUGUAGAGGUGAAAUUCGUAGAUAUUGGGAAGAACACCAGUGGCGAAGGCGGCUCACUGGACCGACACUGGCGCUGAGGCGCGAAAGCGUGGGGAGCAAACAGGAUUAGAUACCCCUGUAGUCCCUGUCUCUUAUAC